rnacentral:misc_RNA from 1 species
CCGUUUCGGUGAAUUGAUGCAGAACAUUAGAAUGUGUAUAGGUUUUAUGACUUAUGCAUAAAUUGGUAAAGACAAAGGAUUGAUACUUGGAUAGACCGUGUUGUAUUUAUUUCAGCAGAAUGGUUCGAACCGGUGAAUUUUACGGCGGAUCCAGACUUCUGAUUGGCAUUUCAUUUCUUCCAAUUGAUCAGGUGAACUUUCUCUUCUGUCAGACUUUAGCGUUGCUGUUUGCCUUUCCAUUUCGGAAACAUUUUUCUCCCCAAACCUGCGGUGUAGUGACACGACAUGCCAUAGAGUUGGUGUUCGGUGUCAGCCUGGCGUACUUCUGCUUUGGAUAUCAGAUCUACCAUCUGUUUCUGCUGGCUCUCGGUUGCUACCUGCUGAUGCGCAGUGGCCAGAAAUGGAUGCACAUUGCAGUGUUCAUAUUUACCAUGACCUAUCUGAGUGUUAUACACAUCUUUCGCCAGUACUACGACUACGGAGGGUACACUCUGGAUAUCACUGGACCUAUGAUGAUCAUGGUACAGAAGUUGACGAGUAUUGGUUUUUCCUACCAUGACGGCGUGGUGAAAUCUGACAGCGAGCUCACCCCAGAACAGAAACUGAUGGCUGUCAGAAAACUUCCUGAUGUCCUCACUUUCCUGAGCUACCUCUUCUACUUCCAUGGCAUCAUGUGUGGCCCCUUCACCUUUUUUUCAGACUACCUCGCGUUUAUUGACGGCACCAACUUCAGUAAAGCUAUAAAACCCGCGAUACAGAAUGAUAUUUCUGAAUCUUCUGAAUCUCCAGAAGAUACAUCCCCCAAUGAUAUUUCUGAAUCUUCUGAAUCUCCAGUGCCUAUAGAAGACACAUCUCCCAAUAAAGUGGUUGCCAAGAAGCUGAUGAUAACUGCUUUCUUUGGAAUCAUCAUGAUCACAUUGUUACCAAGGUUACCACCCGAUUAUUUACUAAGUGAUGAAUAUAAUCAACUUUCUUUCUUAACACGCCAUUUCUGGCUCCUUGUGAUAAUAUCACUGGUUAGAGCAAAAUACUACUUUGCCUGGAAACUUGGGGAGUUAGUAAACAAUGCUGCCGGUCUAGGUUUCCACGGUUACGAUUCCGAAGGUCGUCCCAAGUGGGAUCUUGUAAACAAUGUGGAUAUAUAUAGACUUGAGACGUGUAACAGCCUGAAGGUGAAUGUAGAGUGCUGGAAUAUAACGAGCACUCAUUGGCUGAGACAUGUGGUAUACAACCGCACCUCGAAAAACCGCACAGCCGCCGUGUUCGCCUGCAGUGCCAUUUGGCACGGCUUCUACCCCGGCUACUAUGUGACGUUCGCCACAGGAGCUCUCUUUACAUUCGCGGCUAGACAGGUUCGAAGAAAUAUUCGGCCAUAUUUUCAAACGUCUGAGAACUUAAAAGUGUUUUAUGACUGUGUCACCUUUAUAGCCACCCGUCUAGCCAAUGUGAUCAUGUGUGCUCCAUUCACGGUGCUGGAAUUCGUACCAAGUAUACGAGUAUAUAGGUGAGAUUAGUCAUAGUGUCUUAAUAAUUAAUAUCAUGUGUGCUCCAUUCACGGUGCUGGAAUUCGGACCAAGUAUACGAGUAUAUAGGUGAGAUUAGUCAUAGUGUCUUAAUAAUUAAUAUCAUGUGUGCUCCAUUCACGGUGCUGGAAUUCGGACCAAGUAUACGAGUAUAUAGGUGAGAUUAGUCAUAGUGUCUUAAUAAUUAAUAUCAUGUGUGCUCCAUUCACGGUGCUGGAAUUCGGACCAAGUAUACGAGUAUAUAGGUGAGAUUAGUCAUAGUGUCUUAAUAAUUAAUAUCAUGUGUGCUCCAUUCACGGUGCUGGAAUUCGUACCAAGUAUACGAGUAUAUAGCUCUACAUUGUGGUGGAUGCAUAUUUUGUCCAUAUUAGCUAUUCUGUAUUUUAACAUUACGAGUCUUUCAAAGAAGAAGCAAUAAUCCAUAUACAGGGUAUUGACCUUGUGACCU